rnacentral:lncRNA from 1 species
UUUAGAUUUGUAGAAUUAUAGAAAUAAGAUUGCUCCUUUUAAUUUCUUUUUCGUCACAGACAUAUAUGAUUGCCUUUCCACAAUCGCAACUCGAAACUUCCAACUUGUUUAGAUAAAAACACGUGUCCGAGUAUUCUGCUUAGAGUUAUCAGCAUGAGAGUUUCAACCAGCUAUUCUUAAUACGUGUUUACACUCCCUACUCCACACUUAGGCAAGUAGUCACAAUUAAAUUGUGUU